CCCUUAGAUGUCCUGGGCUGCACGCGCGCUACACUGGAAGUUACGGAUUGAGAUACUACCUUGUCCGAAAUGGUCCGGGUAAUCACCUAAAAGCUUGUCAUAAUUGGAAUGGAUUAUUGUAACUAGUAAUCCUGAACGAGGAAUUCCUAGUAAGUCCCAGUCAACAGCUGGUACUGAUUACGUCCCUGCCCUUUGUACACACCGCCCGUCGCUACUACUGAUUGGACGUUUAAGCAAGAUUUUUAAACACUGACAGUGUGUAGUUCACGCUAUACUACGGUGAGAAGAAGAAGAUCGAGCUUACUUGUCUAGAGGAAGUAAAAGUCGUAACA
rnacentral:rRNA from 1 species